rnacentral:lncRNA from 1 species
CUUGUUUCCUCUUUAAAGGUCUCUAUCAACUUGCUGAGAUAAUUUUUGAGGUCCAUCUCAUCUUCAUGCUCUGUGUUGGGCUUUUCAGCUCUUGCUGGAGUGGAGUCCCUAGAUUCUGGUGGUGUCAUAUUGGUCUUUCUGUUGUUGAGUGAAAUCUUAUUCUGUCUUCUCCCCAUAUCUUCUUUUAGUGGGUGCAGGUGUGUUCUCUCUAUCUCCUCUUGUGGCCCAGUGGUGUGUGGGGGCUAGGAAUUCAAUGUCCACAGGUCUAGAUGAUCUCGAUGCUCCUGGUAGUCUCCUCACUAGUUCCUAGAUCCUCGGUCAUUCAGCGGAAUGGAAGAGUGGGAUGCUAGCAGAUUUGGGGCGCAGGGAGCUCCUCCCUGCCUGGGUGUGUCUGGCCCAAGCCCGCAGGCACAGGCGGGGGUGGGGGGAUGGGGGUGGUGGGGUGUAUGCUGUUCUGGCCUGGGGUUGGGAGCGGGCAGAAACUCACUCACCUAGUUCCAGGUCAGUCGGCGGCGGAAUCGUGACUGUAAGAUCUUGAAAGAGCCACCUCCUGAGGGAUGUUGCCUCCCACAGUGAGCUGGACCCUGUUACAUCAAUUAACAAUCGAGAAAAUCCCCACAGAUCAAUCUGAUCUAGGGAAUCCCUCAGUUUAGGCAGGCUGUGCCUCACUAAAGCUAUCUAGGACAGAGUCCAACAUAUGUAAAAUAGUAAUUGCCACAGUGUAUUAGUUACACCUCCUUCCCUUUGCCUUUAAAAGGGGAUAUGGCAUUUUCAAAAAUAACUGUUGGUGAGAUUUGAAGAAAUUCACACAUGUACAUUGUUGGAGGGAAUCUAGAAUGAUGCUGUGUGUGGAACAUAAUUCUGGCAGUGCCUCCAAAAGCUGAAUGUAGUAUUAUCAUAUGACCUAUAAGUUCUGUGCAGAUGUACUCCAUGAGCUUUGUUUAUAAAAAUUGCACAUGAUUAUACAUAAUUAUUCACAUUGUGCAUUUUUUUAAAUACAGGGUUUCUCUGUAGCUUUGGAGCCUGUCCUGGAACUCCCUCUGUAGACCAUGCUGGCCUCAAACUCACAGAGAUCCUCCAAUCUCUGUCUCCUGAGUGCUGGGAUUAAAGGUGUGUAUCACCACCUCCUGGCUCACAUUAUACAUCCUUAUUCCUAAUAGUAAAAAUUAUGGCUACAACCCAAAUGUUUAUCAACUGGUGAAUAGUUAGAUAAAAUAUGGUAUGUAUCGUAUACUGGAAUUUUCAACUGCAGAAAGGAUAUAAGGAGUGAUAAAUACCACAAAAGGAUAAACACAAAACACAUUGUACUAAGUGAAAAAAGGCAACCACAAAACUCUACUUACUGUAUGCACUCAGCUGUAUGAAAUGUUCAGAAUAGACAAAUCUAGAGACAGUAGACCUUUGGUUUCUUAGAAAUAGAUGAAUUGGAGUUUACAGAAGGUCAUAGCUAAAAGGCACAGGCAACUUCUAAGGGUGAUGGAGUUAUCCUUUAAUUACCUGGUGGUAAUGUCUGGACCACUUUAUGAAUAUAGCAACAACUACAUACUUGAACACUUUAAAGAGGUGAAAUUUACACUAUGAUUAUUAUAUUUUAAUUAAUUAAACUUUCUGGAAGAGACAAUACUUGUCUAAAUGAACAGUUUAACGGUUUGGAUAAGAAUGGCCCCCAAAGGCUCAUAGAUUUGAAUGUUUGAGAAUGGCAUUAAUUAUUUGAAAGGACUAGGAGGUGUGGCCUUCUUGGAAGAAGUGAGUCAUUGGGAGUGGGCUUUGAGGUUUAAAAAGCCCACAGCAGGCCCAGCAUGGCUCUAUUUUCCUGCUGUCUGCUGAUGCAGGUUUAGAACUCUCAACUACUUUUUUCCAGCACCACGUCUGCUUCUCACCCAACAGGCUCUUUGCCAUGAUGACAAUGGAUUAAACCUCUGAAUUGCAGACUAGCCCCCAGCUAAAUGCUUUCCUUUAAAAGAGUUGUCAUGGUCAUAGUGUCUCUUCACAGCAAUAGAGCACUGACAAAGAUAAACAGCAAGUUCAUAUUUUUAAUAGUACACACAGAAACUUUACAUUUACAAGGUGCUUAUCACAGUGACCUGUAUGCAGAGGGACUUUCAGUGGAGGGAGACCUGAGCAGGCGGGAGACCAGUGAGGAAAUGAGAUUUUUCAAAAACAUAAAAUUUAAUAUUUAAAGUGAUUUGUAGCUUUAAUACUUUAUAUUGAAAUGUAAGCCAUAUGAGUAUAUUAUUUUAUUAAAAAUAGGAAUAAAAGCCAUAUAUCUUGCAUUUGGGGAUUUUCUUAUGUGAUAAUGAAGGUUAAAUGCAGGGUUUCACACUUCUCUACCAAUGAGCUACACAUCUAGCCUCUCCAUCAUUUUUACUUUUUUUCUGAGUCAGAUUCUUGCUAAGUUCACUAGACUCUCAUCUGAACUUCUUCAGAGGCUGAGAUUAUAGAUGCGUCUCACCAUGCUCAUUAUGUUAGAAUUUUAUCCCAGUUAGCUUGGUCUCCUAGAUGUGAGAAAUUGAGUACACAUAUACUGUUUGUUUUGAGAAACUUGAUUAAUUAUUAGUUUCCUUUACUACUUACAAUGCUUAGUUUACAUCCUGGGGAACCCUUUCUCUUAAGGAUGCAGGGUUUUCUAAAACUGAUUUUUCUUCUUUAUUUAUUUGUUUUACCUAUAUUGAAUAGAAACAAGUUCAAAUAAUAAAUAUUUAUGUAUGUGUAUGUAUAUGUGUGUAUGCAUAUGUAGACAUGAUUAGUGAAGCAAAAUAGUUUCACAUAAUAUUCUUACACUCUUUUAAAUUCUCCAAAAAAGUAGGAGAUACACUUGUAUAUACACAAACAUACAUACACAGAUUAACUCAUAGUAAGUAUGAACAUUUUAACAUCUUAGGAUUCUCACUUUUAGAAAAAUACAGCAUGUUCCUAUUUGCAUGUAAUAUCAAGCAUGUUUUUUACCCAAAAAGCAAUUCUGUCUUGUCUGGGAGACAAAUGAGUCCAAAUCUUCAGCUUAGCAUUUUAUGUCUCUUACUGAAAACUUCUUGACAAGGUCAGAAACUCCUGGUUCUGAGUAUCUCAAACCUGUUUGUCUCCACAUUCAUCACAUGACAGAACUGAAUGAGUUCCAGUUUGGGCAUCUGGACUACUCAUGGAAAUUUUAUCUUGGAAGGCCAGCAAUUACCUACACACAGAAAGAUGAUAGGUGUCCACACUAAAAUAUCCCACUAAGUCCUAGCUAAAUGUGUAUCUAAGUCCACUGUCAUCUAAGCCAGAUCUUUGGGACACUUCUGGCCAUUCCAGUACCACCCAAAAAGAUGAAAAAGUGAAGAAGGAAUACAAUCACAGAAAGAAAAAGGAUUUAUCCAUGUGAAUUACUUCUGGAGCUUCUCUUGGCUUUGCAAGAGGCCUAUGCAAGCUAGGAGUCUAAAGCUCAAGGUUCCUUAUUUCCUGGCCAACUCUUCCCUGUUUAUUCCUUAUAAUUAGAAAUGUUAACAAAAACAUGGUAUGCAAUAGUUACUCUGUACUGCACAUAUUGGUAGUAUCUAAAUUUUAUAGUUUGAUGCAUUUGGUACUGAUGCAUAUAUGCAUCCUCUAUAUCUCUUAGAAAACAUGCUGAUCAGUGAGAUGACUCAGCAGGGAACAGCUUGCCAACAAGCCUAAUGACCUGAGUUCAAUCCUUGGGGCCCACAUAGUAGGAGAAAACCAACUUCCCCAAGUUGUCCUGAUUUCCAUAUGUGUGCUGAGGUGUGCACAUGCCUUCCACAAAAUAAAUGAGUGAAAAAAUAAUUCCAGCAUUCAGGAGGCAGAGGCAGAGAACUCUGUGAGUUCAAGGCCAGCCUGGUCUACAGAGUGAGUUCCAGAACAACUAGGACUAUUUCACAAAGAAACCCUUUCUUGAAAAACCAAAACAAACAAACAAACAAAAGAAGUGUAACUUUCGGGUGUCUGUGUCGUGUAUGUGUGUGUAUGUGCAGGUGGGCAAGUGUGUAUGUACAAGCAUACAAAGGUGAGAAGUCCAUAGGUAUCUCCCUUAAUAUUGCCCACCAAUUCAUCAAGACUAAUUGGCCAAGAGCUUAGGGAGGGUCCUGUUUCUGCCUCCACAGUACUGUUAUUACAGAUGCUCACCACCACAAUGGGAAUCCAGACUCGACCUCUCAUGCUUACACUGCAAGCACAUUACUGGCCGGGCCAUCUCAUCAACCCCCACAACAGGUGAUUCAUGACACCUAUAACCUGGAUAUGUUUUUUGGAAAGUUAAAUGUGUAUGAGAAAAUGUUUAACUAUGUAGUAGCCAACUUAUAAACAGUAUCUAUAGCAUCCUGUUACUCAUCAAACCUCCCCAUUAGAAGUGCUGAAUGUCAGGCUAGGAUACAGCACAGUUAGAGGGCUUUUGUAGCAUGUGCAAGGUCCUGGUGUGAUUCCCCCCGCAAAGCAAAACAAUACAAAACAUGAAAUAUGCUUUCUUGUGAAAUCUUUUUCGUAGUACAACAAUGAUAAAAGCUGUGUCUUUUAAAUUCCACUUGUUGAGUCAUGCCUUCACAAACAGUAUUUGAGGUAAAGCUGUGAGUCUCAACAUUAAAUAAUUCCACCACAUUUUCCUCCAUUUUAAUUUAUUUACUUUUAUUUUCUUUUUUGGUGCAUGUUCAUACUGUAUGUGUGUAUAUGUGGAUGAACGUGGAUGGAAUUGUGUGUGCAUGCACGCGAGGUCCAGAAGUCAGUGUGAAGAGUCUCCCACUAUUACCCUCACCUUAUCUUUUGAGAUGGUGUCUCUCACUGGUCACUGAUUGGCUACUAGGCAGGUCACUGAGCUCUAGGGAUCCAUCUGUCUCUUUCUAAAGGCUCACACCACCUCAGCCUUUAUGGAAGUGUCAGGCAUCUGAACUCCUGUCCUCAUGUUUACACAGUAGGCAUUUCACUGACUGAGACAUCUCACCAGCCCUUGAGUAUUUUUAGAAGAAAAUUUCCCAGUAAUGACUUUAGUAAAAACAAUAACAGGAGCAACAAAAUGACAACAAAAAGUCAAAAUCUUCCAAAUAGAACUAUUUUUCCUCAUUUAAAAAUAUUUCUGGUACUCACAAUUGCAUAGUUUAACAGCCAUGUGACUCUACCAUAAGGAAGACAUACUCUUGGUACUAAAAGAAGAUACCAAGAGGGGGGAUGAUUCUUCUGGAGGAAUUCAUUCCCUUUGUGGAUGAAAAUCGCUUUGAGAACAGGCAUACCAAUUUGUGUAGGUGUAUUUAAAACAGUAUUAUCGUAUCACUAUAACUUACUGGAGAAUAUGUGAGUUGGCAGUCAGUGUAUUCAAUAUUCUAAGUUUAGUAUUCUCAAUGUGAUUGGGUAGAUCAAAACAUAAAUUUGGGAUUCCAAGGAAUGAACUCUUGGGUAGCAAAAUUAGAUUAAUGGCCAUUUUUAAAUUGAUAAGCAUAAUAUAUCUGAUUUGCACAUCCUAACUGUAUGAUAAUGUUUACAUGUGACUCAUCCUAUUCCAUAUAAAUGAGUAAUGUUAUUUAUGCAAAUUACCAAGGACAUUGCCUAGCACAAAGGAAAUAUGUUAGCAUGUUAAUGCAACCACUUCCUUCCAGUUAAAUUUAAUAAAGACACUAGUUAGAAAUCAUUAUAUCCAAAGUUAUGCUGGACUGUCUAAGAAAAUAUAUCUGUUUAACUUAUUUAAGUAUAAAUGUAGGUCAUGAUUUUAAGAUCCAUUCUAACAAAUAUACAUUUAGGUUUCAGCCUAUGAGAAGCAAGAAGAAUACUAUCUAAAAGAUUAUGAAUUCUCUUUACUUUGAGGAGUUUAUAGCUUUUUGCCAUAAUUUGUGGGUAAAACUGUAAAGUAGGCCUAUGCUGUAACUAAAUUUGGAGGCAGUCAUACAGCGAGACCUGGAGUGUCCAGACAGAAUGUGGGCUGAACUCUUUCUGAGUGGACAGAGCAUCUGGGCAUCAGUGAUAGAAUCUUCCUUACAGGAGAAAUGUUUAAUUCAACUUGAGACUUUAGGAAAGUUGUCUAAGAUAAACAAGAGCUUGACAGGUCUUUCACUUCCCAGGAUCAGGAAAUUGAAUGAGAACCCAAGAUCUAAAGUCCCUGUGUCAGCUGGGACUUGGGUCUGAGAAGAGCUGGGACUGGUAAUAUGGGCUGGAUGAACCUUAUAUUCAGAGAACUAGGAAGGUUUGUUCUUUCAAAUUUACUAAAUUUCUGUCUCUUUUCUUUCUUUCUGUGUUGCUUGAGAUGAAACCGAACUAUCCUGUGUGUGUUAAAGAAGUGCUAUAAACAGAGUGAGUUCUCCAGCCUUUGUUUUUAAGACAGAAUCUCAUUUUCAGCCCAUACUGUCCUCAAACUCACAACUCCCCUGUCUGUCUCUGAGUCCUAGGAUGACAGGUGUGCACCAACACACCAGCUCUAAAACUCUCUUAUCUGAUGUCCGUUGUUCAUACAUUCAAGGAAUUCCUUCAAUCUAGUAUGGUGCAUCUUAGCAAUUUCAAGUUCAGAAGGGUCGACUAUUUCACAUUUUCAUAUUGAAUAAACCUUGCCCUAUGCUCAUUAGAUGACAAUUUCCCAUUUCUUCCUCCCCUAACUACUGGCAACUCCCAUUGUUGGGAGAUAUUCGAUCACACUGUGAACCCCAAGUUUGUGUUUGCAUUAAAUGAAAUCAACCUUGGAUCAGGAGGCCAAGUUAGCAACUAGUUGACAGAAAGUAAUCAUAGAGAGUCAUAGGGUGUCUGUAAGAUGAUAGACACACAGGAAGUAAUAGGGAGGAACUUAGUGUAGCGUUCUUUUGGGUUGGCGGAGUAGGUGGAACCUCUCUUUUUGAGACACCAGCAAAGAGAGAAGGCCAGCUAGUUGCUACUCAACCUCUCUGAGCUAGCAGGUUUUCACCCCAGCCUUUGACUCCAAGUCUUAUUGUUAAAUAGAAUGAUAGAGAUUUAAUCAAAAGCUAUAUAAUCAGCAGUUAUAUAGCCAGUGCUUGCAGGAACAGAAUUCUCACCAGGCAGUGGCCUAAGCAGCCAGGCCAAUGCCAGAGAAGCAGGCCAGUAAUCCCAGAGCCUCAUUAGCUGGAUGAAACAACAGAUUAAAGCACAGCCUCUGCAAUGAUGGAAAACAACAUCCCAGUCUAGUUUUUCCUAUGAAUUUGACUAUUUCAGAGGCUUCAUGUAAGUGACAUCAUAACACAUUUUAUAUUGUGCCUUGUUGUCCUUCUGGGUCAUCCAAGUUGUAAAAUAACAUUAGAAGUUCUUCAUUCUUAUGGCUGAACAACAUUCCACUGUAUGUGUAUAUUUUGCUUUUUUCCUUUAUCUAUUUUGAUGGACAUUUGGAUGGCUUUCAGCACUGGGCUGUUGGGAUGCCACUACAUUGAAUAAGGAUACUAAGCUAUAUGUUCAAGUUUUCAUUACAAUUUUUUUGGAUAUAUGACCCGAAGUGGAAUUUUUAUAUCACAUGGUAAUUCUACACUUCUUUACUUCUUUCUUUCCUUUGAGGAACUUCUAUAUUAUUUUUCAUAAUGACCAUGUUGUUUCACUUUCUCACCAGCAGUUCAUAAACAUCCCAGCCUCUCAUGACCCUGUUGCUUUGUUACUAAUCUUCUGUUUUAUUCUUUUUUAGGGACCUUCACCAGCAGCAUGUUUUGUGGAUGUAAGAGUUCUGGGAAUGGUAGAAUCUUCAUAAGUUCCUUUGCUAGUUAAUUUCAUUUUUGUUUCCUUUUUUGAGGGUGGGAGCAAGGACAGUGUUAGAGAUUGACAGUGCUUGAACAAAAACACAGAGCAAAUAGAGUUGUUGUUGUUUUUUUUCAGUCACACUUUGACUAUAUAUUGGUGUCAGUGAGCAGGAUGACCCCCAUGCCCCAAGGUUCCUAGAGGAAGAGGGAAACCUGCUGCCACUGCCUACCCUGUUGGGCCGCUGAGAGACAUCGGAGCAGGUUCCAUACGCUCGAGCAGUCUCUGUGCUCUUGGGGGUUGGACUCUGGCACUCCCGAGAUGGCCUGCAGCUCUUGAGGGUUCUAGGGUUAGGAUUCUGAGCUCUCACCACCACAAGCUAUCUUCGUGCAACUAGUCGAACAGUGGCAGAACCUGGGCAGCUGGAGGUAGUGUUACGAGCUUUCAUGUAAACUUCACAAAAACUUAAAAAUGAAUUUUAGCAGCAAAAGAUCAGAGACAAGCACGACUUCUUGCUAGCAUCAUUUUCUUGGGUGGUCUCUGUUUUGCUAGAGACAAGCAAAGACUCGAGUGGUUGCUUUAAGAGAGAUUUCCUGACUCAGCAAAAGCAGAAAAAAACUGCAGGACUCUUUAAGAGGCCCCUCUAGCUCAGUUGGCAGAGCAUGAGACUUUUGAUGUGGGUUCCUGCCCUAUGCAGCUGGCAGUGGCAGUGACCACAUCUCCAAGGCGGCAGCGUGCUCCUUGAAAGAUAUCGGCUAAGAAAGCUGCCACUUUAAUUUUUGUGGUGUUGUUUAACAGUUAAAAGACUGCAUGUCCAGAAGAAGGUAAAGAUUUACAAUAAAGACAGAUCCAGAUAAAGAAAAACCUCUGAAGUGUUUAAAAAUAUAUGUAGGCUUGUGAGAGAAAAAGUAACAGGAGGAAAUAGAGUAGCUGGGUGUGGGGGCACUCACCUUUAAUCCCAGCACUCCCAAAGCAGAGGCAGGCAGAUUUCCACAGAGAAACCCUGUCUCAGGAAAAAUGAAAGAAAAGGAAGUAAAAAUAGAAAAAUAGAAAAGCCACCCAAAGAUGAAAAAUACACAGAGAGUCUGGAUACUAUAUGCUAUAUUGUCUUUAAAUUGUUUGAUUGCCGAGGAAAGAGUUUCUGCUACUAAAAUACAUUUGAUUAUAAAUACAGCUAAAUUAAUCCAACUUAUACAUUUUAAAAAUGCUUUGACUUCAAAAUUUAAGUCUAAGGACAGGCUACUUGAAAAAAAAAGUUUUUGCUUGUGUUUCCACAGAAAAUCAAAAGCUGUGGAUUCCUUCCAGACUAAUAUGGUUUGAUCAAGCAAGACCCCUGAAGCUGAGAUGAUACAGUCUUACAGACUAUGAAAACAAGGACUUGGUCGAAUUUCUGUGUUUUAUCAUGAUCCCUAUGGUAUGGACAUCACCCCCAAUCAGCAGGAAGCAGUUUGGAAUGAACUACGCCUAAAUUCCCAAAUAUUGUUUAUAAAUGUUUGUUUUCAUUUAAAUGGAGUUGGUUAUAAAUGAUAAUGAGCAUAGUCAAUCUCUUUUCUUAAAAAAGGGGGGAUAUAGGAUAUAGGAAUGAAUACUUUGCAUUGAUAUGGACUUUCAUUUAUUGAUGCAACUUUAAGAUCAAUUUUGUGAUAUGUAUAUGUCUCCUCUUGUUUAGAUAUUGUGUUUAUACAGAUCUUUUAAAAUGAUAUACAUAAUUAAAUACAGGUUAUAUAGUUAUCUAUAAUAGUCAGAACUUAUAAUUAGGUUAGUUAGGUUUUCUAGAUAUACAGAGAUGUAUUUGAGAUGGAUAGGUAUUCUUUAAUUAAAUCUUUCAAAGACCGACAGAAUAUAUGGCAUUUAAAUGGUUUAGGGUUUUUCUUGGCAGUGAGACACAACUGCUCCUGGCACACCAAUUACAUCAGAAAGGAGGAUGGGCAUCGAAGAAACUCGUUAUGGAGUUUGCUUUCAACAUGGCAAGAUUAGCCAUUUGGGCAAGAAACUACUCUUGCCUGGAUUGUUUGUUGCUGUAUAAACUGGACGUGCAGGACCCACAAGAAAGUGACUGCUGAACUUACAAAACAAGACAGUACUGAAGGGUCCUGUUGAAAUGCAGAAGUGUGCCAGACACACAGCAGAUGUGGUGCUGGAGCUCAGAGUCCUACAUCUUGACUCAGAGGCAACAGGAAGUCAGCUGGCUGUCACACUGUGGGAAACUUGAGCAAAAGAGUCCUUACAGCCCACCCUCACAGUGACACACUUCCUUUAAGAAGGCUACAACUCCCAAUAGUGCCACUCCCUUUGGGGGCCAUAUUCUUUCAAACCACCACACUUGGGUGCAGCUUCCCUGUCAUAUAUAGAAGACACAGCCUCACAGCAGACAUCCUGUCUCUCUGGCUUUUACGAUCUUCUUAAUGCUUACAGAAGGCAUGCAAAACCUUGCAUCUAUUCCAUCUCUAGAUGUAUCUCUGCUUCAGCCAAACCUCAUUACACACUGUUGCUUUCCAGUGUCUUAUCAGCCAUGUGUUUAAGUGCUUCACCCUGAUUAGAACACACUUCCUGUCAUGUAACAUGAAAAAUAAAAAGCCCCAGAGACUGAUAUUGGGGUUCAAACUUCAAGCUGAAGAUCAGAAAAGAAAAGCAGCCAAUCCUAGCUUUUACCUUUACCUCAGGCUGAAAAGGCUGAUCCUGCUGCCUCUCCUCAGAGUGACUGGAGAUUCCUGAGACUGAAUGUCCUCCUAUCCUCAAUGUGUCUGGAGGAUGAAUUCUCAAUACUGAGACCUUGCUCCUGUCUUAUAUACCUCUCAUGAGUUCCAGGAUUAAAGAUCAGUGUAGGAGCAGGCCGAGUUUCGUUUCCAAACAUUCAUUCCAAAUAUGCAGCCCCAAAUCCAGAAGAGCUGCUUAGAGAUGGUCGGCAUGUACUCUAAGGAGGAGACCACUUGACAGUACCUGGUCAGGCAGCAAGCAUGGGAUGAAUACAGGCUGGGCUCCUGACAGCGCACUGGAGAAAGAGCACAGGACCAUGCACGUGGCUCAUUUUUACUGUUUAUGAAUUUUUUGUUUAUGAGGCUGAAAUCACAAGCAGAAAGCUGUUUCUAACUCCUCUAGGCCUCCCUCCACAGAAGGAGUGUCACUUUCUAGAACGGUGCCAUUCCAGUUGGCUGAGGGCUCUAUCUAGUCAUUUCAGUUCAUUGAGAAACAUAGAUGAAACCUGAUGGGUUGCAGUAUUACUUUUUGUUGAAUGAUGGGCUCAGGAUUUAGUCAUUAAAGUGGUAUCAUGUCAUAUCAGAAAACUUUCUCAAUGCAUUUGUGUAGUAAUAAAGUAACCUAUAAAACUAUGACUGAUGGGAUUUCCGUAAAAAUGACAUGAAUUUUACAGCAUACAAAAGGGAAUUUGGCAAUGAUAAUCUGUAAAUGAUACAGAUUUCUGUCUUUAAGUUUUUCUUUUUGUAUUUCUGUAUUUUCAAAAAUAUUUUCAAAAUAGAUGUUUCCUUUUAAAAACUUAAUGAAUUAAUAAAAUUAUGCACAAUAAAAUCUCUUC